rnacentral:rRNA from 1 species
AUAAGCGAAAGCUUGACAGGGUUAUUCUGAGUGAUUUCCGCUAAGGAAAUCUUUUGGCACCUCUAAAAAUGGUGCAGAAUAAGGGGUGGGCAAGCCUGGUGUCAGCCGCCGCGGUAAUACCAGCACCCCGAGUGGUCGGGACGAUUAUUGGGCCUAAAGCAUCCGUAGCCGGUUCUACAAGUCUUCCGUUAAAUCCACCUGCUCAACAGUUGGGCUGCGGAGGAUACUAUAGAGCUAGGAGGCGGGAGAGGCAAGCGGUACUUAGUGGGUAGGGGUAAAAUCCGUUGAUCCAUUGAAGACCACCAGUGGCGAAGGCGGCUUGCCAGAACGCACUCGACGGUGAGGGAUGAAAGCUGGGGGAGCAAACCGGAUUAGAUACCCGGGUAGUCC